UGGGCCUCAAAUAAUGUGUG
rnacentral:rRNA from 1 species